GGCGGUAUACCUCAGUGGUAGAGUACAUGCUUAGCAUGCAUGAGGUCCUGGGCUCAAUCCCCAGCACCUCCA
rnacentral:tRNA from 1 species